UACGAAGGGGGCUAGCGUUGUUCGGAUUUACUGGGCGUAAAGCGCACGUAGGCGGUUUGUUAAGUCAGGGGUGAAAUCCCGGAGCUCAACUCCGGAACUGCCUUUGAUACUGGCAAGCUAGAGUCCGGAAGAGGUAAGUGGAACUCCUAGUGUAGAGGUGGAAUUCGUAGAUAUUAGGAAGAACACCAGUGGCGAAAGGCGGCCUUGACU
rnacentral:rRNA from 1 species